GACGAACGCUGGCGGCGUGCCUAAUACAUGCAAGUAGAACGCUGAAGGAGGAGCUUGCUUCUCUGGAUGAGUUGCGAACGGGUGAGUAACGCGUAGGUAACCUGCCUGGUAGCGGGGGAUAACUAUUGGAAACGAUAGCUAAUACCGCAUAAGAGUAGAUGUCGCAUGACAUUUGCUUAAAAGGUGCAAUUGCAUCACUACCAGAUGGACCUGCGUUGUAUUAGCUAGUUGGUGAGGUAACGGCUCACCAAGGCAACGAUACAUAGCCGACCUGAGAGGGUGAUCGGCCACACUGGGACUGAGACACGGCCCAGACUCCUACGGGAGGCAGCAGUAGGGAAUCUUCGGCAAUGGACGGAAGUCUGACCGAGCAACGCCGCGUGAGUGAAGAAGGUUUUCGGAUCGUAAAGCUCUGUUGUAAGAGAAGAACGAGUGUGAGAGUGGAAAGUUCACACUGUGACGGUAUCUUACCAGACAGGGACGGCUAACUACGUG
rnacentral:rRNA from 1 species